rnacentral:rRNA from 1 species
UACAGAGGGGGCUAGCGUUAUUCGGAAUUAUUGGGCGUAAAGGGCGCGUAGGCGGCCACGCGUGUCUUUCGUGAAAUCCCCGGGCUUAACCUGGGAACUGCAUUCGGGACUGCAUUGCUAGAGUAUGGGAGAGGGAAGUGGAAUUUCAGGUGUAGCGGUGAAAUGCGUAGAUAUCUGAAGGAACAUCAGUGGCGAAAGCGACUUCCUGGACCAAUACUGACGCUCAUGUGCGAAAGCGUGGGGAGCAAACAGG